rnacentral:rRNA from 1 species
GCAUAUCAUAAGCGGAGGAAAAGAAACUAACAAGGAUUCCCCUAGUAACUGCGAGUGAAGCGGGAAAAGCUCAAAUUUAAAAUCUGGCGGUCUUCGGCCGUCCGAGUUGUAAUCUGGAGAAGCGUUUUCCGCGCUGGACCGUGUACAAGUCUCUUGGAACAGAGCGUCAUAGAGGGUGAGAAUCCCGUCUUUGACACGGACUACCAGUGCUAUGUGAUGCGCUCUCGAUGAGUCGAGUUGUUUGGGAAUGCAGCUCAAAAUGGGUGGUAAAUUCCAUCUAAAGCUAAAUAUUGGCGAGAGACCGAUAGCGAACAAGUACCGUGAGGGAAAGAUGAAAAGCACUUUGGAAAGAGAGUUAAACAGUACGUGAAAUUGCUGAAAGGGAAACGAUUGAAGUCAGUCGCGUGUGCUAGAACUCAGCCUUGCUUUUGCUUGGUGCAUUUUCUAGUGUACGGGCCAGCAUCAGUUUUGGCCGCCGGAAAAAGGCCUUGGGAAUGUGGCACCUUCGGGUGUGUUAUAGCCCUUGGUUGUAUACGGUGGCUGGGACUGAGGAACAUAGCAUGCCUUUACGGCGGGGCUUCGGCCACCUUCAUGCUUUGGAUGCUGGCGUAAUGGCUUUAAACGACCCGUCUUGAAACACGGACCAAGGAGUCUAACAUGCCUGCGAGUGUUUGGGUGGAAAACCCGAGCGCGUAAUGAAAGUGAAAGUUGGGACUUCUGUCGUGGAAGGCACCGACGCCCGGACCAGACCUUCUGUGACGGAUCCGCGGUAGAGCAUGUAUGUUGGGACCCGAAAGAUGGUGAACUAUGCCUGAAUAGGGUGAAGCCAGAGGAAACUCUGGUGGAGGCUCGUAGCGAUUCUGACGUGCAAAUCGAUCGUCAAAUUUGGGUAUAGGGGCGAAAGACUAAUCGAACCAUCUAGUAGCUGGUUCCUGC